GUGCUCGCUUCGGCAGCACAUAUACUAAAAUUGAAAUGAUACAGAGAAGAUUAGCAUGCCCCUAAAAAAGAAAAUCUAUUUUGCAAACAGUAAAUUCCAAAAUUA